rnacentral:lncRNA from 1 species
GAGUCUAAGUUCUAAUAAGAAUUGAGAGCUUAUCCAGCCCCAGUACUUUUUCUAACACAUUAUCGCUGUUCCUAAUAAAUGUAUGACUAACUCAUACCUGCUAGUUAGAUCAAUUCUUUGAUUCAUUUAAAACAGAAAGAGAAGUAAUUUUCUUAGAUUGAGAAGGGAGAAUACUGAUUCAGUUGAUUUGAUCUUAAGCAGUCCUUUGUUCUACACAACAAAGGAAGGAAGGGGGUAGGUAUCUUUGUAAACUCAAGAAUUUUUACUAGGAGAAAAGGAAGUGACAACGUAAGAAGUCUGAGGCAGCUGGAUAAAACGGGAGGUUAACAGGGAAAUAUCCAUCUGGGAGUUCCAGAAUGUUCAGAAGACAAGGACUUAUACCUUUGUCUUUAUUUUUCAAAGGCAGGAUGUCAGACAGUCACUAGAACUUGAGCCAGGACAAGCUUUUGCUCUUAACUCAGAGCAUCAUCAUGGCAUCCCCGAAAGGCUCCUUUAAGUUGCAGCUUCCAACCCACAAACCCCCAUGCAGAGGGCUAAGGAAAUGGUGUAUAGUUCAGGCAUUGCAGCAAAGCCAUAAUUUCUUAUCUCUUACCCCUUCACUAAAUUACAAUUAAAUUCCAUCAUUCAAAACUGCCUGAUCUUGAGCCAGAUGCAUAUAUCACAAGAAGGCAUUAAAAUCUGACCUUUUAUAUCCCCAAUAAGAAAUGUCAUGAGUCCAUCACAGAAACAUAACUCCCUUUCAAAUUAGAGCUAAGAAAGAUUUGAACUUCAAAGGAGAACUCUUCAAUUACAGGUGAAUCAGAGGACUUUUCUAGUAACCUCUUAAAAUGCGAAUUCCAAACAAAAAAUGAGAUAACUUUUGUGUUUCAGAACAAAAAAUUUAAAUGAAUAAAUAGCUGGAUGUGGGAAAAAAUGUUACAUACAAAUGUGAAAAAGGACCGCAUUGAUCCAUCUCUUUGAAGUUGGUUCUAAGAUUAUUAGCAACUUGAAAAUCAUUUCAGCAGAGGCCCUCAAACCCAAAACAAUUAUCCACUGGCUCUUUUACUGGCUAAGAUUUACAUCUAGUGGCUUUAUCAGUUAUCGAAACCAGAGAGACUGCAAAGAAUACUGUGGGGCAUGGUGACUUCGGAGCUUGCUCUUGGAAUAUUUAUCAUGUUAGCUCAGUAAAUAGCUCAUCCUUUGCCAGCAGGAAGAUAAGCAGACAGCCUUAUCGGUCUUGGUACUUUCAAAAGGGUUUCACCCCACAGCACCCUGCAGAACAUCCAUUUUCCCUCCAAUGACCAUCCAUGCCUGGAAACUAAGUAUUUAGAUCUUUGUAAAGAAGAGUCACUUAAAUAAGAAAGAAAAAACUUAACUGAAGAGUAAUAAGAGGAAAGAAGGGGAGAGGGAGCAACCAGAGAUAGAUUUAAGCGAAAAGGCAGGAGUUCCCACUGGGUUAAGGAUCUGAUUGUAGUGGCUUGGGUGGCUGCAAAGGUGCAGGUUCAAUCCUCAGCCUGGCACAGUGAGUUAAGUAAGGAUCUGGUGUUGCCACAGCUGCGUGUAGGUCACAGCUGUGGUGUAGGUCACAGCUGCGGCUCACAUUCAAUCCCUGGCCCGGGAACUUCCAUACACUUCAGAUACAAGCUCCCCCCCCCCAAAAAAAAGCAAUGACACCUUGGCUCUCUUGGAGACUGAGGGGAGAUGGCUAUAAGGCAAUUGUAAUUGAGGCGUGUAGACUGAGGCCAUACACAGGUACUUUCACCUCCAUCGACACAAAAGCCAACUUGGUGUCCGAGGGAAGGCAAUGACAAAGCAGGAUGGCUUUCCCAACAAUCACGUAUGUCUUCACUUAAUAAAUAGUUAUUGAGUUUCCACUGUGUAUACAUAUACGUCAGAGAUAUAUCAUGAGUCUAAGCAGAAGGAAAAGGGAUAAUAAAGCAUAUGAUAGGUAGAAAACACAAGCCAAAAUAAAAUAACACUAAUUCAAAAGAAGAAACUAUGCCAAUUGUGGGACUUUGCAGCCUCACACAGAAAACAGAAUCUGAGGAGUUCCCGUCGUGGUGCAGUGCUUAACGAAUCCAACUAGGAACCAUGAGGUUUCGGUUCGGUCCCUGGCCUUGCUCAGUGGGUUAAGGAUCCGGCAUUGUCGUGAGCUGUGGUGUAGGUUGCAGACGCAGCUCGGAUCCCACGUUGCCAUAGCUCUGGCAUAGGCUGGUGGCUACAGCUCCGUUUAGAACCCUAGGCUGGGAACCUCCAUGUGCCAUGGGAGUGGCCCUAGAAUGGCAAAAAGACACACACACACACACACACACAAAAAAUAGUAUUUGAAUUGGGCCUUAAAGAAACAGUAAGAUUUGGAUGCCGAUCAAAACUACUAUGAGAUAUCACCUUACACCAGCGAGAAUGGCCAUCAUCAAAAAGUCUACAAAUAAUAAAUGCUGGUGAGGGUACGAAGAAAAGGGAAGGAACCCUCUUACGCUGUUGGGGAGAAUGAAAAUUAGUGCAACCACUAUGGAAAACAGUAUGGAGGUUCCUCAAAAAACUAAAAAUAAAACUACCAUGUGAUCCAGCAAUUCCUCUCCUGGGCAUCUAUCUGGAGAAAACCAUAAUUCAAAAAGAUAUGUGUACCCCCAGUGUUCAUUGCGGCACGACUCACAAUAGCCAAGACAUGGAAGAAACCUAAACGUUGACAGAGGAGUGAAUAAAGAAGAUGUGGUACAACAUAAAUACAAUGGAAUGUUUCUCAGCCAUCAAAAAGAAUGAAAUAAUGCCUAUUGCAGCAACAUGGACGGACCUAGAAAUCAUCAUACUAAGUGAAGUUAGUGAAAGACAAACAUCAUCUGAUAUCACUUACAUGUGGAAUCCUUAAAAAGAAUACAAAUGAGCUUGUUUGCAGAACAGAAACAGACUCACAGACUUUGACACUUUUAUGGUUACCAAAAGGGACAGACCUGGCAGGGUGGGGUGGAGUGGACUGGGGUUUGGCAUUGGCAUAUGCUCACUGAGGUAUAUGCAAUGAUUGGCCCCUAGGGACCUUCUGUAUAGCACAGAGAACUCUGCCCAAUAUUCUGUGAUCAUCUGUGUGGGGAAAGAAUCUGAACGAGAAUGGAAGAGUUCCAAUUGUGGCUCAGUGGUAAUGAACCUGACUAGUAUCCAUGAGGACUCAGUUUGAUCCCUGGUCUUGCUUAAUGGGUUAAGGAUCCUGCAUUGUGGUGAGCUGCGGUGUAGGUUGCAGACGAGGCUCAGACCUGGUGCUGCUGUGGCUGUGGUGUAUGCUGGCAGCUAAAGCUCUGAUUUGACAAGACAAAAGCCAUCUUUAUUAUUCCACAACUUGUAAACAGAUUAGCUCUUAUUCUCAACACCACAUAUUUGAGCUGUAAAGGAAUAUUUUUCACAGUUCUUUAACAGCAACUCCCAUAGCAAAUAAAAAAAAAGCAAUCCUAUAUAUAAAAUACAAACAUAAAAGAAUAAUAUUGUGCUAUUCUUCAUUUGAAGUUAAUCACCUAUAAGUCUGAGUUAUUUUUUUUUCCAGCAGUCAAGAUUGAGUUUGCACCAAAUAUCUCUUCUCUUUGCCUAGUCCCCUUGGUAACCAGAAGCAUUACAUCUGCAAAGACAGGGGCAAAGACAGGGUAAGUGGACCAGGACACAGAUCAGGGCCACACACAUGGGUCAAGUCCAUAGCCUGGGCUUUACAGCCACUGCAGAAUUUUUCCACAAAUUGUGAUCGUUGGAAUUCUGCCAACAUCAGCCCUCAGUUUAUAAUGAUCCAGUGCUCAAGAGUUUCUGCAUUGCUAAAUGUUUGUGGGGCUCAGAAAUCAAUAUCUAAUCACACUUAGCUGGAACCUGAUAUUCUGUACACUCAGCAGUGUAGGCUGCUGGUUGCUGUGUAUAUAAAGGGUAACAUGGGAAGCAGACCGUUUGUUGGAAUAAAUUGCAUUAAAAAUAUCGCUACUCUGGUGCAAAUCACUGUUAAUGACAUUUAUUGAGUGCUCAUUUUGCGAGAGUCCCACUCUCCCAGUUGAGUCUUAAGGUGAUACAAAGAAAACAGAGGACACAUUUUUUUGAACCUAGAAGCUAAUGCUGUUUUUCUCAGUCCUUCACUAGGAUCAUAAUGGCUAGAUUAUUUCUCAAAAUCUGUCAGCUUUAAAAUCCUGAGGAAUGGGAAUAUCAGCGUUAUGGAAUCACCGGCUGCACCUGGUUUCCUGGUAGAGCCUGCUCCUCUUUCAGCCAGGAGCACAUGGAGAAACCAAUCGGGCCUUUCAGUAAGCUGUUAUAGGGUCCCAGGUGUAGCCAAGUCCUUAACUGUAUAAUCCACACUAAGCUCACAACCACAUCCCUAACGAAAUGUCUAGUAGCAGCAGUGAUGUCCCUUCAGUUUUUCAUAGGCUGGCUCUACUGUCACCUAAGAAAAGGAUGUGUGUAACGCUUCCUAGAAGAGCGCUUCUCAAGCUUGAAUGAGCAUCUGAAUCUCAGCUGGGGAUCUUAUUACAAUGCAGAUUCCAGUUCAGUGGAAUCAGAUGGGGUGUCUUGAGAUGCUGCAUUUCUAACAAGCCCCCAGGCAACAUGAUGCUGCGGGUCCUCAGAUAACACUUUGAGGAACCAGGAGAGAGAUUUAUGGAGAGAGCUUUACCUGCUUCCAGCAGUGUGCAAAGGAAUAAAGACAAAAGUCUCACGUUCUCUAUCUUUUCCUCUCUGUCACUCAAGCACUAGAGACUAUACGACAAUCAAGCCUUAAGUAUAGCCUUGGGAGGGAGUUCCUUGGUGACCUAGCAGUUAAGAAACUGGCAUUGUCGCUGCUGUGGUGCAGCUUCGAUCCCUGGUCUGGAACUUCCACUCCACAUGCCACAGAGCAAAAAAAAAAAAAAAAAAA